CGCACCCUUAUUGCUAGUUACCAUCAUUGAGUUGGGGACUCUAGCGAGACUGCCAGUGAUAAACUGGAGGAAGGUGGGGAUGACGUCAAAUCAUCAUGCCCCUUAUGACCUGGGCUACAAACGUGAUACAAUGGCUGAAACAAAGGGCAGCGAAGGAGCGAUCUGGAGCGAAACCCAAAAAGCAGUCUCAGUUCGGAUUGAAGUCUGCAACUCGACUUCAUGAAGUUGGAAUCGCUAGUAAUCGUAGAUCAGAACGCUACGGUGAAUACGUUCUCGGGGUUU
rnacentral:rRNA from 1 species